rnacentral:rRNA from 2 species
UACGGAGGGUGCAAGCGUUAUCCGGAUUCACUGGGUUUAAAGGGUGCGUAGGCGGAAAAGUAAGUCCGUGGUGAAAUCUCCGAGCUUAACUCGGAAACUGCCGUGGAUACUAUUUUUCUUGAAUGUUGUGGAGGUUUGCGGAAUAUGUCAUGUAGCGGUGAAAUGCUUAGAUAUGACAUAGAACACCGAUUGCGAAGGCAGCAGGCUACACAAAUAUUGACGCUGAGGCACGAAAGCGUGGGGAUCAAACAGG